AUGCCUAGGAAUCUGCCUGGUAGUGGGGGAUAACGCUCGUGAAACGGACGCUAAUACCGCAUACGUCCUACGGGAGAAAGCGGGGGACCUUCGGGCCUUGCGCUAUCAGAUGAGCCUAGGUCGGAUUAGCUAGUUGGUGAGGUAAUGGCUCACCAAGGCGACGAUCCGUAACUGGUCUGAGAGGAUGAUCAGUCACACUGGAACUGAUACACGGUCCAGACUCCUACGGGAGGCAGCAGUGGGGAAUAUUGGACAAUGGGCGAAAGCCUGAUCCAGCCAUGCCGCGUGUGUGAAGAAGGUCUUCGGAUUGUAAAGCACUUUAAGUUGGGAGGAAGGGCCAUUACCUAAUACGUGAUGGUUUUGACGUUACCGACAGAAUAAGCACCGGCUAACUCUGUGCCAGCAGCCGCGGUAAUACAGAGGGUGCAAGCGUUAAUCGGAAUUACUGGGCGUAAAGCGCGCGUAGGUGGUUCGUUAAGUUGGAUGUGAAAGCCCCGGGCUCAACCUGGGAACUGCAUUCAAAACUGUCGAGCUAGAGUAUGGUAGAGGGUGGUGGAAUUUCCUGUGUAGCGGUGAAAUGCGUAGAUAUAGGAAG
rnacentral:rRNA from 1 species